rnacentral:rRNA from 1 species
UACGUAGGGUGCGAGCGUUAAUCGGAAUUCCUGGGCGUAAAGCGUGCGCAGGCGGUUCGUUGUGUCGGUGGUGAAAUCCCCGGGCUUAACCUGGGAAUGGCCAUGGAAACUGGCGAACUGGAGUGCGGCAGAGGGGGGUGGAAUUCCGCGUGUAGCAGUGAAAUGCGUAGAGAUGCGGAGGAACACCGAUGGCGAAGGCAGCCCCCUGGGCUAGCACUGACGCUCAGGCACGAAAGCGUGGGGAGCAAACAGG